rnacentral:tRNA from 1 species
GGGCGGGUAGCCGAAUUGGUACAGGCGCACGGCUUAGGACCGUGUUUCGCAAGAUAUGUGGGUUCGAGUCCCACCCCGCCCA